AGCUUUGUACAGUGGCAGUAUCAUAGCCAAUGAGGUUUUAUCUGAGGCAUGAUUAUUGCUAAUUGAAGACUUUUCCCAGAUGACAAGUUAGCAAAUGAAAAGAUACUGUACCUCAUAUAUUAUUAAAGAAUUUCAAAUAAG